rnacentral:rRNA from 1 species
UUGACCUCAGAUCAGGUAGGAAUACCCGCUGAACUUAAGCAUAUCAAUAAGCGGAGGAAAAGAAACCAACAGGGAUUGCCCUAGUAACGGCGAGUGAAGCGGCAACAGCUCAAAUUUGAAAUCUGGCGCAAGCCCGAGUUGUAAUUUGUAGAGGAUGUUUCUGGCGACGUGCCUUCCGAGUUCCCUGGAACGGGACGCCAUAGAGGGUGAGAGCCCCGUACGGUUGGUUGCCUAGCCUCUGUGAAACUCCUUCAACGAGUCGAGUAGUUUGGGAAUGCUGCUCUAAAUGGGAGGUAUACGUCUUCUAAAGCUAAAUACCGGCCAGAGACCGAUAGCGCACAAGUAGAGUGAUCGAAAGAUGAAAAGCACUUUGAAAAGAGGGUUAAAUAGUACGUGAAAUUGUUGAAAGGGAAGCGUUUAUGACCAGACUUGCGCAGGUUGAUCAUCCGUCGUUCUCGGCGGUGCACUCUGCCUGCGCAGGCCAGCAUCAGUUCGCUCCGGGGGAUAAAGGCUUCGGGAAUGUAGCUCCCUCGGGAGUGUUAUAGACCGUUGCGUAAUACCCUGGAGCGGACUGAGGUUCGCGCUCUGCAAGG